rnacentral:misc_RNA from 1 species
AAAAAAAAAAGGAAUACAAAACACUGAAACAAUUAAUUGCUAUUUUUCCAAAAAGGCUAUAGUAAAAAGAUUUAAUUGACUUUAGUUUCCCUACACUCCCUCUUUUAAUACAAAUUGAAUUGGUGUGAAUUUUUUUUCCUAUAUGUUGAUCAAUGAUGGCCUUGCUUUUCCUACAUAUGCUAUGUUGACAUCUUGCAUCUUGCAUGAACUGCUACAUUGAGUGAUUAUCUUCCAUAAAGAGUGUCAAAUUCAAUAGGUAUUUCAUUUUCCAUUUUGGAGUGAUAGUGAACACAUUUAACAUUUAUGUUAUAGACAAUGCUGAUCUAAAAAUUAUAUAGGAUGGAUGCAUAUGGCCUCAUUAUAUGCCUGUUAGUUCCUAUGUGAAUGAUUAGGAGAAUAUUUCCUAGA